rnacentral:lncRNA from 1 species
AAGCUAAAUUACAUAAAACCUUUCUGUCAAAAUUUAAUUUUUUAUUUUUUUUUUGUCAUUUAAAAAUCUACACUUUACUCUCUUGUAAAAUAAAAAAUGUUCACUUUGCCCCCUACCAUUAGUAAUCCGUUAGGAUUCCAUUUAUAAAAUAUAUAUUUUUUUUUAUGCCAAAAAUACCCUCAGCUUUCUCUCCUGUGAAUAUAAUGAGGGGCAAAAUGGUCAUUUUAUCAUCAUAGUUCACACCGUACCCUUCUGUGAACAUUUUUUAUUUUACAAGAAAUCAAAGUGUAAGUUUUUAAAUAAUAGAGGGAAAAGUGAAAAAUCAAAUUUUGACAGGAGGGUUUUCUAUAAUUUAAUCAAAAAAAAAUGAAAUUUCAAGCCCAUUUCUCUAUGUGAUAGGCUUAUAUGAGAAAUUUUGAGUCCCAAAAAUAGGUAACAUUGUACAAGAAGGUGCUAUAAAUAUUGAAAAUACUUUUUUCGAAUAAUUUAAGUUUUUAAAAAAGAUUAAUUAAUUCACGUAAUUUUAUAUAGAGUUAAUUUCAUACAACUCUCUGUAAACAUAUCGAAUAGUAAAUAUAUCCCUACAAAGUUCAAUUUUUCAUACUUAUCACAAUAAAAGUCCAGUGAUAUUCAUAUUUGUCCCUAUGUUUUGUUACCAUUAAAAUAUUAUUUAUUUUUUAAUAGAAAAUAAGUGAAAUGAUAUUUUUUUUAUUACAAAUAUAUCCCUUCAAAAAUUCAAACCGUUAAAAUAUUUUUUCAAAAAUCUUCAACAGUCAUCUUUUCUACAAUCACAAAUAAUAUAAAAGAAGUAAAAAUGCCUAUUUACCUUGUUCUCUAAUCAGAAUUAAAUAUUUCACCUAUGGUUAACUACUUUUUUCUAAUAGAUCUUAACAGCAGAGAUAUAUUUAAAAACGUUAGGAUUUUGUAGGAAUAAAUAAAUAUGAAAUGAUAAAUUUUGUAGGAAUAUAUUUGCUAUUCAAUAUGUUUAUAGGAAACUGUAUGCAAUUAAUUUUUUUUACUAAUAACAGAGUUAGAGGUUCUGAGUUCAAAUCAUAGCCGACUCCUACGUUAUUUAAUUUAACUUCACAUCUCGGUUCUACCAAAAAAUCUCAA